GAAGAACCAAACCAAAAGACGAAGACU
rnacentral:rasiRNA from 1 species